GGAGGUUCAAGUCCUCCCAGGCCCACCAAUUUACCUAUCCAUUUGCCUUUAUCCGUUUAUUUGCCGAUUUAUCGGUCCAUUGAAUUUAAGUGUUGGUAGCAGUUUUUAUAAUGAUGAGAAAUCAUGCUUAUAAAAGAACUCCUUAUAAAAGGCUUGUUUUUAAAAUGUGACGCUUAUCCAUUUCGCUUAGGCAAGAGAAACUUCAAGCGGUUCAAAUGCAAAAGGUUUUAAAUUUUGCAAAACAAUUUGAAUUUUAAAGUGAUUCAAGUUCGUGAUCUCGAAUUUAAAAGUUUCGAAUGCUUUAUCCUUUUUUUGGGGGC
rnacentral:misc_RNA from 1 species